AGCAAAUACACGUGAACGUGCUUUAAAGGCAACUAAGUGCUAUUCAGAUAUAAUUAUUUGUCAUUUAUUGAUAAUGGUGAUCAUGAAGACAACCAUGAUGGUGACCACUGUGUCACCAGAGACACCUAAUCUAUGAACACUUCCAGGAGGGAUGCCAACAGCACAAAGGUCUCUGUGGAGAAAGCCACCGGGCAAAGUAUUUGGCAACUGCUGCUAAUCGAGUAGAAGGACGAAGCCAGACUCCAGACAAUCAAAGGCAGCGUGGAGUAGGAGGAAACGCAGACAUGUUCGAGCAUUCUAGCGGUGAAUUCGAACCAAGAAGCAAGAAAGAAGGCUGUCGUGGAGGGGUCAGUUGCAGGUCGUAUUUCUGAAUGACGAGCCGGUAGCUUUCUGCUGAAACCACGGGGGCCUGCUCUGGGACGAGCCCCCGGCUGCCGGAGUACGUGCAGGUGGGGUCUUACAAUAUUUAUGGACUUCAGACGCAUGCCCUCCGGAGCUCCAGGAGGCGAAAGCACAUUCCAGACGCAUAAAGGCUGAGUAUCCCUGCGUGAAACGCCACGGGAGGCCCGGGUCUCGGGGGAGGCCGGGUGGGUGCCGGUGGAGAUGAGGAGUCCAGAGCCUGAGGCCAACCGGCUUCGGGGCGGCACCUCCUGUGGCUCUUGGCAGAAAAGCCACAGAGAGACCCUUCCCUGAGGGGGUUAUUUAAUUUUCUCCUCACAUUAUUUAACGCGACCACUCUCGCGUACUCCUGUGGGAGCACGAGCAUAGCUGUCUGCUGGCUCUUUCCCUCCCCUGUUAAAGGCUGAACUCCUUCGGGUGACAGAAAUAGGUUACCCUUGUUUCGGAAGGUGCUAGAAGUAAAUCCAGCACUUCAUCGGUGUUCGUUAUACAAAAGGCGGCUUGUUCUCCGUGGCUGGGGUGACUGCAGUGCCUUUGGCCCCAGACCUUGGUCCCGGGCCUUUUGGCAAAGAGGGUUUACAAAGGAGUGACUGUAAUGAAGGAUAAAAGGCCACAGUCUGCUGAAGGUGAAGGGGUAGAGAACAGCAACUUUUGUGUCCUCGGGGCCAGGAAGAACCACCUGGGGCUUCUCGGGUGUGAGUUUAAUCUGCCAGUGACUGUGAUAAGGCAUCCUUUUUCCGGACACAUUAUCUGUCGCCACACCACACGGACCCUCACCAGCUGACAGGAUAGCAGGGGCCAUGCAGAGGCUGGGAGGGGGACGCCGGGAGAGCAGAAAUCAGGCAUUUUGCCAGUUAAGACAACGUCGGCUUCUGGUGGGUAAACCAGAGGUGAAAGCGGGGCACUGGGGCGGCUGGUUCGCCGUGAAUGAGGUUCCUGCUCACCUCAGAAGUGGGCAGAACACCCCAGGCGGCACUUCUCACGGAGGAGGGAGGCAAGAGGCAGUCCUAGCAUAUGUGAGGACAGCCUUUUUCCUGUGAAUUCAAGCUAUUUGGCGCUCUCAAUGGCAGGCCCCAAAGAAACAAAUGAUACUUUGAAGCCUCGACACUGAAAAUAUUUCUUCUGCAACCACGGAACGGAACAACAGGUGAUCUUAGGAGGCCCUUAAGAGUCAUUGAGCUCAAUGUCUGUGUCUGAACAACUUGGAGAGUGAGGGGCAGAGACCCCAGCUCUCAGCUUCUGGAAUCCAGGCCAUCUUUCCACUGCACCCUUGCGUCUGCUCUACGCUGUAGGGCGCUUUUGAGGAUGCACGUAGAAAAGCAAACCGCAGCCGUGGUUUCAUUGUGUAAUAAUAACCGUAUUAGCUGAGUUCUUCCAAUGGCUGUGACUUUGAGAAACUCCUGACAAUGUUCUGCUCCUCAAGGUCGGGAAUCUGUGCAUAUUUUUUCCUCCCGAGAUCUGUUGCUCAGGUCCCAUGUAUACAAUAUGGAUCAUCCUUCUAGUGAAUUCCUCUUUCUGCCCCAGUUCAUUCCUGUGGCUUCUACUUGAAGAACCCUAACUGAUACCCUCGCGUAUGUCGCAUUCAUUCAUUCAUUCAUUCGUUCUUUCACUCACCGUUUAUUUAGCACCACCACCUGCCAGGCACAGAUAUCAGUACCGAUGAAACAUGACUCCUGUCUUCAAGGACUUCAAGUUUAAUGGGGAAGAGAUACAAGUAAGAAGAAAGGCAGCAGCGCAGUUUGUAAGUGCAUGCCAGGGAACAGGAAGUGAAAGCAGCUGAGACUCCAUGGAGUCAGGGAAGGCUUCCAGAAGAGAGGUUGCUUACGUUAGGCUCUGAUGGGCAGGUAGAGGUGGCCCAAGCAGAGAGAAGGGCAGAGAUGCACUCCCUUUGGAGUGGAAAGCAUUGUACGAAGGUCCAAGGGUGUGCAGAAGCAGGGCACAUCUGAGGCUUAGCUCGCAGGUUAGCGGGACAUAGGACAGGCAUGGGGAUAUGGCAGAAGGGGCAGCUGGAGAGGUUGGCAGGCAGCCACCGGGCCAGGAUGUCUACUGGUGAUUAGCCAACGACACUGAACAUUCCCCCGGAGGAGCCGCUGAAAAGUUUUCAACAGGGAAUGCUCUGGUCAUGCUUGUAUGUUAGAAAAACUGCUCCAGCCUCAGCUGCACACUGAUUUGGGAGAACCUCGGUAGAGACCAGUCAACCGAGGGACAAGGACAGGGGUCUGAACCAAGUCACUUGUCAUGGGACUCCACGUGCUAAGGCUCAGACUGAGGAGAGAGGCCUCUAUUUGGAAAGUAGACUCUUUAGAGCAUAUUCAUCUAGAUGGACGGAUGAGAACAAAGAAAAAACCAGAAGAUGGAGUCCCACUGUGCCCUUCCUUCUCUGUCGCCUCCUGCAUCUAAUCGGAUCGUGUCAUGUUUCUGGCUCAACUCUUUCCAUGAUUUUCCUUAGCUUUCAGGAAAAAGUUCAUACCCUUGGGUUAAUCAAAUAAAGCGUUUUCUAAUCUGG